GAACCUCCGACGAGAAUGCUCGGGUGUUAUCCCCAUUCUGAUUCUCGCCUUGGAUUUAAACAGUUCACAGUGUUCACAGUGCUGAGGAAAAGAAUUAGAUUCCUAUAUAUUGUGUUUGUCUGAAAUGGGCCUGGAUCCUGCAAGCAGCUCCACAUUGGAAGACCCCGAUGCCCAGGGGAGCUCCUCUGAAGUCAGCAAGGCUCCAUGGAUGGGGAGACCCCAUAUCUGCUCUGCUGAGCCAUCAGGAAGUUCUUGUCCAUUACGGGAGUAAUCCCAGCUCAGAUGCUUGUGGAAGAGACAUGGAUGAGCAGGUCUGAUGGUGGGAGGGGAGAUAAGCAAACCCUAGACCUGCAAAAGGCCAAUAGGUUGGGGCAUCUCUACUGUGCAAAUUUUACCUCAUAUCAAGAGAAUUAUGGACCUGCCUUUGCUAUUUUUUCAUAGAGAAGAUUCCAUUUAGCAUCCGGUGCCAAUUUCCUUUUAUAACUAUUCUAAGGGGGAGUAAUGUAAUAAAAAAAAAAAAAGAGAAAGAGAGAGAGUCACAUUAAAAAAGGAUUACCUACAUACAGUGUCAAGUAAGUUAAAAAAGAAAACAGGGCUACAUUUUUGAAUGCAUUCAUCCAAUUCAAAGCUACCAGCAUUGUCUUUGGUGUAAGAUCUGGAGUACCAAGUGAUAUGGGGGAAGUGACUGGUCGCUUGGGACUGAGAGAAACCUGAUGUGUGAUUUUGGGUUUAAGUGACCUUUUACCACAAAAUCCAGUUUGUCAGGGUGGCAAGAUAGGCUGGCGAGUCUAAGAGACUCCAUGGUAAGACUGUUACAGUGAUCCAGGAGUUCACAGUUGUUGGGAACAGGGAAUGGAGGUAAGAAAAUUGGAAUCAUGUUUUGCUAAACGGGGAGAUGGGAACAGGGAAUGGGGGUAAGAAAAUUGGAAUCAUGUUUUGCUAAAGGGGGAAAUGGGAACAGGGAAUGGGAGUAAGGAAGUUGGAAUCAUGUUUGGCUAAGAGUAGGAAUGGGAACAGGGACAGGUGUCAGGCUCUGUGGUGUCAGAGCUGGGAAGGAGGAUACUAAGGAAGGAAACUGGAAUCAUGCUUGCUGGAAGUUCACCCCAAUAAACAUUGAAUUGUUUGCACCUUUGGACUUCGGGUAUUGUUGCUCUCUGUUCAUGCGAGAAGGACCAGGGAAGUAAGUGGGUGAAGGAAUAAGCCCCCUAACAUCUUGGUGCCGGUGACUCGGAUGCAUCGCAUUGGAUAGGUGAGUGGCAGCCUGUAAGUCCCUCUCCCCAACAGUCCGCGCAGCUGCUUGGAGGGGGUAUCGCGAACUCUCGUGAUGGUAGUUGCGGGUUCUGGCAAGCCAGGGUAAAGGAUUUUUUGGAUAAAUGGAUAAGGGAGAACCAGGGCCCAUACCAGGUACAGGGGUCAACCUGGGAUGAGAUUAAAAAGGAAAUGGAGGAAUUGUUAGGGGACCCAGAGGGAUGGGGGGUGGCUGAGGAGCCCACCCUCCUUGGUACAUGGGUAGUGGAAGAAGGUCCCUGCCCAUGGGGACUGAAUGCCUUCCAGGGAAAGGAGGCACUUCAGUCUGCUUGUGAGAGGUUUGAAGUAAGGGCAGCAUUAUGGGAAGCUGCCAGUAAUCUUUCAAGUUUGGUGCUGCUUCAGCAAGGGCUGCUGAAGGGUUGUAAAUUAGUUAGGGGUAGUUAAAGAUGAUUUGGCACAAAAGGGUUUAAUGUCAAAAGCAGAGUUAACAGACUACCUUUAGAGACUGGAGCUGGGACUUGGUCCUGGGGGAGUGGAGAAAAAAAAAAGUUUCAAAGUGCAACCUGCCUUUCCACACUCUUUUGUUUUUCUGAAGUUUUAAUGGAGGGUACUUUGGAUACUUAUGUGAGAUGUCAAGAAAGAAGUUUUUGUUUAAUGAUAAAACCCAGUUAUAUACAUGUAACUGUAUGUGCAACUCUGUGCAGUCACAUUGGAUGGAAGCUUGGUAAUUAAAUUAUCCAAGGGGGUCAGGUAGAGUGGCUACUACCACCACUGCGCUUCUGUCCACAGAAGCCUUUACAGCUAUUCUGAGGGAAAAUUGGCCCUUUUCCCACAGAAAUGGUCUAUAAGGGACUGCUGCAGGCAGCAGGCAGAGAGAGAAUCUGAUCAAAAUUAUUUGACUUUUGGGUAAUGUAAUCAAAAUCACUAAAGGAUGGAAGGGGUUUCUUUUGGAACUUAACUUGGCUGCUCCUGGUUGUGUCUAGUUGUACAAGAUGGAAGGGUAAUCAGGGUACAGUUGUGUAAAAAGAGUAAUCACAGUGCAAGGGAUGUUAGGCAAAACAGAAUUUUGUGUGUGUGCGCACAGGUAAAAGAAAAGGAAAAGGGGAGGAAUGAUGGGAACACUGAGCCUUGGGAUGGCUCUGGGGGAUUAGAUUGUUGCUUUGGUGGGUGUGCAUGAAAACUCUGUAGGCAUGGGGGAGGCAGUUACACCUUGUGUAAAAUUAAUUUGGCUAAUAUGAUGUUAUGGAGGUUAAACUAUAUGGAAGGAAUUUGCAUUUUCCCAGGACAUGUGCGGUGUAUAUUGGAGAAGGGUAAAAGAAAUGCAAAUAAAACAUGGUACUUAAUUAAAAUCCUAAUAGGGCUCCAAAAGGAGCCACAAUAGGUUUUGCUUUCUUUUUCAGAUCUCUGUGUGAUUUGGAGCAGGAGAGGAAAGUAAUCAGAACUCUGGUGGAAGUAAAAUGCUUCCCUUUUAAGACAGUGUCUGAGCUGCUAACAGCUUUGGAUCCAGAAGCAAGCUAGUAAGCCUCUGUGUAAAUGCAAAUUACCUAGCUGAUGGGCACAAAGGAGCUGCAAAUAAUGAAUACAUCCGGUCAGCAAACAAGCUACUAGAAGACUCAGAUUAUGGCCCUCCAGGAAAGGGAGACACUCUACAAGCAAGCUGGCGCCAGCGGAAGAAUAACUCAGAAUACCAUGGAUCUAUGUUUUGUGUUGUUUGUCUGUGGUGUUUGUCUUGUUGCUAGCAUUGUUGUGUUUUAAUGAACAGAAAACCUCAUGAUGUGGGUGGGGGAUGGCUUCAAAAGGCUGACCUUGGGGGGAAAGAUGUGUAUGGGAAUGCAAAAUGCUCAAUAGGAGGCCAGCAUCUGUGUAAUAGCUACCGUGGUACCUGGAAAUGGAAUGGCAACUAAGGUGGCCCCCACAAGCCCUAUGGAACUAAUGAGAAGGGGAGGAGCUCACUGGGAAUCAAUGGAGGGGUGUGUAAAAUAGUGUAAAUCAAUAGAAGAUGUUUGGAUGUGCCCCUCUCCUGUGACUAUAGAGGAGCCUAUGCAAGGGGUGGACAAUUGGGUGUACUAUGUAUAAGGUGUUUUGCUGGGAAUGUACAUAUUACUGGGGGCACAAUUACACCAGCCCAUAACCAAACUACACCCAUCUACAUGCUGCUAUAUGGACUUUGGUGCACAAAUGGAUCUGUGAAUCUUACUGCUGUGAAUAAGCCAGGGCUUACUGCCUGAUUCCAUACCAAGUGGUCAAGCUGGUUUGGACAAUAUCCCAUCUCUCUGUGAACAUUCAAUGGACUUAUGAUAUGGACAAAAGCAAGCAAAACCUCCAGAGGCAGCUUGUUGCAACUGCCAGCAACUGGACACAAGAUCGUGACCCCAUCGAAGGAGGAGAGGCAGUGUUUUGGGGGUGUCUCGGAUGUUGGACCAUACUGCAGUGGACAGGACUCAGUGUUGCUGUGGAUUUUGUAUUGUUAACUGUACUUAUGUUACGUUGCAUAUGGAGAUAAUCUAUAAGUAAUGUAGUAAGCCCUCCAAACCCUACAGUGUACUAGACAACCCGGACCCAACCUUCUUGGGCCUGCUAUAAUGGGAAGUCUGGAACACUAAUUGGAAUAGGCGUGGUAUGCCCGUAUGAGAGAAGGUGCAGGGCACUAUACUACACAUGGGACAAAUGGAAUAUCGACACCUUCCACCUUGAUGCCUGGCCCUAUCAGGAAAUGUGUCGCCAUAUGUCCUAUGAUUUUCCAGGGAUACCUGGGCAGGAGGAUCCCAAAAGAAAAAAAAGGGGGUGGAGUGUUAGGAUAUAGAUAUUCAGGCCUGUCUGUAAAGGCCUAUACUCUAAGAAUUCAGGUGUAUUCUUAUCACUUGGCUAAUUAUAGAGGUAUAAAAGAAAGAAACAAAAUCACUGUCUGCUGGUGUAAGGGCCUUCUCUUACUGUGACAGUCUGAGGCCCUGUUCUUAGGCUAAGGCCUUUGGCUAAGCAGCAGAGGCAGCCAUAAGCUGGGAAGCGAACAGUCACAUCCUCACAUUCCAAACUAGUCACAUUGAAAUAAGGUGCUAUUGGGCUGUUAGGCACUAUCAGGACAGGAUUGUAUUCCUAUCACCUCCAGAGAAAGGGAAGUGCCUAGAAAAUGUAAAAGGAAACUUAGUUUGAUAGCAUCCUGUCUGGCAAGAACUCACUUAUCAAUAGCUGGGAUGUGGAAUCCUCACUUCCGUAUUGUUUUGUCAUUAUAGUUCCCACUUUGCUAUUGUUUGUCUGUAUAAUCUCUGUCUGAUUCUGUGAUUGUUCCUGUCUGCUGUAUAAUUAAUUUUGCUGGGUGUAAACUAAUUCAGGUGGUGGGAUAUAAUUGGUUACAUAAUCAUGUUACAAUAUGUUAGGAUUGGUUAGUUAAAUUUCAGGAAAAUGAUUGGUUAAGGUAUAGCUAAGCAGAACUCAAGUUUUACUAUAUAAUCUGUAGUCAAUGAGGA